UACAGAGGAUGCAAGCGUUAUCCGGAAUGAUUGGGCGUAAAGCGUCUGUAGGUGGCUUUUUAAGUCCGCCGUCAAAUCCCAGGGCUCAACCCUGGACAGGCGGUGGAAACUACCAAGCUGGAGUACGGUAGGGGCAGAGGGAAUUUCCGGUGGAGCGGUGAAAUGCGUAGAGAUCCGGAAGAACACCGGUGGCGAAGGCGGCCUGCUGGGCAGUGGCUGACGCUGAUGCGCGACAGCGUGGGGAGCAAACAGG
rnacentral:rRNA from 1 species